CACGUAGGGGGCGAGCGUUGUCCGGAUUCAUUGGGCGUAAAGCGCGCGCAGGCGGCCCGGAAAGUCGGGUGUGAAAACUCGGGGCUCAACCCCGGGCGUGCAUCCGAUACUGCCGGGCUUGAGGCAGGUAGGGGAGAUCGGAAUUCCUGGUGUAGCGGUGAAAUGCGCAGAUAUCAGGAGGAACACCGGUGGCGAAGGCGGAUCUCUGGGCCUGUCCUGACGCUGAGGCGCGAAAGCUAGGGGAGCGAACAGG
rnacentral:rRNA from 1 species